AUUUGCAGUCAGCAAAAUCGUGCAGGGCGUUAUCUUAUCAUUUUCACACAACAGCAAAACCUUCCUUUCAACGAGCAUGACAUCCUUUCAUUGUUAGUUAAUAAACAAAAACACCGAGCCUCUCUGUUAUCUUCAUCAACAGAGUUUCUGCUCAGCGCAGAUCAGUGGAUGGACACUACACUUCCUGGUCAGCUAGGGAGCCGAACAGGAAACCUCCCUGUUAUCUCAAUAAACCAGUGACCAUCGCCGCUCAGUGCGCCACACACCAGGCCAUUGUUAGUUAGCAGAACAGGAAAGCGUUUCAACUUAUCUCAAUAAGACACUGCUCCGCGCAGGUCGAGGUAUCCGUGCCUCGGUAAAACUUAGUAUACCGCUGGAAGUCACGACUCUCUCGGUAAAUGCAUCCUCUCAGUACCAGAAAUGUAUAAAGAUGCUCAUUCGGUGCAAGGUAGUCAUCACUCGAGAUCAUGCAAGAAACCUCUUCAGCUUCGCUCCUCACUAACGCUCAGAUCCACCCCGAGGGUCAGAACGCAAGCUCCAACCCACAACAUGGCAUGCGCUUCUUUGACCUCACAGGUGUGGAGCAAGAAAAUGUACUUUUAACACCGUUCAACUACGGUAGGAUUUACUUUCAUAAAGAUAAAGUAUCUAAAGUAUUUAAAGAUACUAAUACGUUGUUUUAACCAUUUUAUUUUUAUUGUUUUAGGGUUUUUAGAUGGGAACGUUCUAAAAGAUAACGAAGGAGUCCUCAGAAGAACUUGAAGUGAAGCACACCUCCCUCAGUCGGGGAAAAGUUACAGAAAUCAUCUUUUUCUUUCGCCCGACGGCUGCAAAAUCCUUUUUGCAAAAUUAAGAUUGGUUUGCUUUUCUACAUUGAAACGUUUUACAACAUUUUUCUUUUAAAUGUGCAUACUGUUUGUUUUCAAAGGCUAUUUCUACCACAAAAUCCAAGAAUCAAACCCUUCCCAUGAUUACUGGCUCUUCUACAACCUAAUCCACAGCAAAAUAUUUACUA